rnacentral:lncRNA from 1 species
GUGUGUUUAUAAUUUAAAUUUUCGAAAAAAUCUGAAAGUACGAAAUUGUUUGAGGUUGUGAUACACCUUGAUAAAUAAUGUAGGUCAAGACUUUAAAUAGUAUAAAUACAUUUAUUUCACUUAUUGUCGGUAUUAGUAUUAGCUUAAAUGUGUCUUUACACAUGCCAUGAAAAGUGUUUUUUUUAGGAAAAAGUUUGUUAAUUGAAAAAGCCAAAUUGUAUGUCUUUAAAAAUUAACCUUAAUGGCUCCAUGGAAGAACAAAAGGGUGUAUGUGGAAUGUAAUAAUUCACUAAAUAUUUUGCUUUGCUGAAAGAUCAUUGAAUAUUUGUUGAUUUGGUCUUUUCGUUAUAACUUGUUUCCAUAAUGAAAAUUGAGUUAUCCUAAAUUCAAAAAAUAAGACAAAUACUAAUAAGUGCUCCCAACAAUUUGUUUUUAUUAUAUCGUUUGUUUUGUAACUUAGCAAAUAUUUUUUUUCUUAAUUAUGAGUCUCAAUUUGACUUUUAACACUGAUUAGCACUAACUAAUUUUGAAUUGUAUGAAAAAGUCAUAUGAAGUAGCAAUGUGGAUUUACAAAGGAGGGGAAUUUGAAUUGUAAAUGUUCCUAUUUAAAAUUUCUUGAAAAACUUAAGAUUUUAACUCAAGAAUGAUCUUGGUUAAGAAAACAGAAAACGGAGAACAUUCUUGGUUUUUAUCAAAAAACUGAGAACGUUCUUGGUUAAAUUAAAAUCAGAAAUUCAGUUUAUGUUUUUAACUUAAAUGGUUAAUCAGACUUAAUAAAUAAGGAGAUAAGAGUAAGAAUACCACACAUAGGUACAUCCUGAUUCACCCAACUUGAGUUAUGUCCGGUCUUUAAAACUGUGAGAUUCUCCACUAAAUGUUCAAAACAAAUAACCUUAUUGGUUUUACAGCACCUAGCUCAGAUCAACUUUGAUCUGUUACAAACUUAAUUCAUUUCUACCCAGAAAGAGAUUAAUCAGGUCACCUAUUGAUAUCAGCAUUGAUAGGAUUUCUUACAAUCUACCCAAACUAUAUUAAAUUCUUAUAAUUCGAGUUUUACAAUAAUGAUGAAAUUGUUUUUAACAUAAUCUGAGAUGUCUCAACUCUUGUUUGAGAUUCGAUUCUAUACAAAGAAUUCAAUAUAAUAAUAACAGAGUAUUGAAAUAUAAUUAUAACUAAUUCUUUUUUGAGAAGUGGGAAUUUCAAGUAUGUGAAUGUGAAUGAUUUAAAGAGAUUUGUUAUUACUUAAACUUCUGCGAUUUACCUAAGCAUUGGUCUUCUUUUUAUAAAUGUAUUAGAGCAAUUAAUAAUAGUCAAAAUAUAUAUUGAUAGUGCUUUGUCAAUUUUGAACAAAACCAAUAUAUAUGAAUAAAUAUAUUACAACCCUUGAAUACUUUUUGAAAUAUGUUAGAAUAGACUUAUUUCUUCAUUCUUGAUCAGAUUUCUCUUGUGUUUAAUGAUCCUUUUUGCUUCAGAUAUAUUUGUUGAUGUCAUUGCUUUGAUCUAGAGUUUUGAUUCUGUCAAAACAGCUUGGAGAAUGAUGAACUUUUGCAGAAUGUUAAUGAAUAUUCUAGAGAUUAAUAAUCAAUCUGGAGUUCUAGUCUUUGAACUUUCUGGAGAUUUGAUGAUCAAUCUAGAGGUUCAAUCUUGAUCAUUCUGGAUGUUUUCCUGAUUAAUCUGGAUGUCUUCUACAAUUCAAUAUUGUUUAACUUUCUUGAGAGUCAAGCUGGAGAACGUUUGAACUUGCUUGAUUCACGAAUUUUUUUCUUUGUGAUUCAAAUGGUUUCUUUGAUUAGAAUGGAUCCAUCUUGAUCCUUGUCAAGUAUUGAUAACAUAAGUGUAGUUUCCGGAGACAUAAUUUUUUUUGAACUAGUUAAUAUUGAUUGAUCUUGGGGUUGUGAUGGUCAGUCUUAAUUCUGAAGAACAUUCUCCGUUUUCACAUACUUUGUCUAAAAUGUUCUUCUUUCAGUUUUUAUUUUUUAUUGUUGAUUUCUUUGCUUUGCUAGAGUCACAUCUUUGAAUUAAUCCACUCAAAAGAACAAGUUAAAUUAAUAUAACAUUUAAAAUCAUAAUUAACAUUCUUAAUUAAUCUUUAUUUAUUUUCAUCAAAACUUAAAUUGAGAGUCAGUCGUAACAUCAUAUUUACAUUUGACUUUAAUGGUCGGUUACUGAGGGUUCUUCCAUUGAAGGUACAAUAAUGAGCCUUAUAUAAGACCAUUUGGUCUCUUACAUUUGAAAAAUAGUAAUUUAAUUCUAAAAUUAAAAAAUAUCAAUUAAUUUUGUCAUUUUUUUUAAUGUUAGGCUAAAAUUUUAAUAGUUUUAUGGUUUUUUUUAACUAACGAAAAACUAUUUAAUUAUUAUGUAUAACUUUUAUUAAUUUUAAUAUCUUUUUUUUAUCAAGAGUUUUCAUACUCUAUAGUUUGGAUGAUUGAUUUGCUAUUUAGAAUAUUUGUAGAUUAAAUUGAUUGACAUCUAAAUUUUUAAAGACUAAAAAUGACUAUUUGCUCUAUAAUAUAUUAAUGUUUCACCAAAAUUUGUUACAUUGAAUAACUAUAUAAAACACUUAUUAGAAGCAACCUUAUUUCGAGACUAACUUCCAUACAUAUUAUGUUGGUUUUAAUUUUUAUAAAAUACAAUAAGUUUAUCUUUAUUAUAAAAAAAAAAAAAAAAAAAGAAGAAGACAUAAAGAGUCCAUAUAAUAUUAUUUUAGGAAUGUAAUUAACACUAAUCUCUAUGACAAUAGUUGGGGCCAUAUCCAAAACCAUCAUCAGGAAUAAUAUAAUUAGGUUUGUAGUAAAAUGUGAUAGGAGGCUUCCUAUAGUCAUCUAUGGUCACAGACUCUACUAUCCACCUAUCAUCAUUAGGCCUUCGUACCCCAUUAUGGGGUCUACUUCUAUAUAUCAACACUUUGCAGAUGUUGUAUCCACAAGGUCCCUCUAAGUCCAAUACAUCUGUUUUGCACGGCUCCAACCUAGUUUUACUAUUAGGACCACCCACAUUCUCAACAUAAACCUGCAAUUAAAUUAAAACUUUAAAUAAAUUUUCAAUCUUUAUAGAAUUUUAAAAUUUUAAUUUUAAUAAACAAUACAUUAGUACUUGAUUAUUUCUAGUGAAAGAAAAUUAAAUAUUGUAAUUGCGUAUUAAACUGUUACUUUUAAAGGAAAAAAAAAAUUAAAAAGAAUAGAUAAUAUGAUUUGUUUUCCAAAACAAGAAACAAAGUCACAAAAUUUUAAAAUUGAGUUAAUAGUAUUUGUGCAAGAAAUUAAAUUUUGAAGAAUAAUAGAGAACCAUGUAUAUAGUUAGUUAUAUUAUACGGUAAAUUAUUUGUAGUAGAGAAAAACAUUACCGUCUCAUAGCGUGUAGCGUUUCCAAAUAAAAGAGUGAUUCUGUCAUUUGUAAUAAGUGGAGAAAGACAACUUGUCUUUAUAGCAACUCUGUAGUUGCAAUUCAAUUUAUCCAAAUUCUGAAACAUGCAUAUAUAUACAAAUCAUAUACAUAGCCUCUUAUUUAAUAUUUAAUAAACUUUCAUUUUUAAAAUGUGUAGUGACUACAAGGGCAUUGAUGAAACUAAAGCACAGUUUCCCAACCCUAAAUUUUUGGCAGCAAACAAAGAGGCCACUAAUCAAAAGCUAUAACUAAACAAUUCAAUUAAACGAUAUAAAUUCUUAUAUUUAAGUUAUACUUUUAUUAAAAAGAUAAAAUAAAACUAAUGUUAGGUAAAUUAUAAGUUGUUUUUAUAAAUUACACCGAGGAGUUUAUGAAAAAAUAAAAAAUAACUUAUAGACAUAUUAUAAUUAUUUUCUUACAUUCUCUCAAAUAAUAUCACACAUUGAUUCUAUGUAAUAAUAUAAAAUAGGCUAAAUUACAUCUGUGGUCCCUUAACUUAAUUUCAGGUAACGUUUUAGUCAUUUAUCUUUUUUUUUUCUUCCCGAUUUAGUCCUUUAUUCCUAACAAUAUUAAAUAAAGUAUGAAAAUAUGAGUUUAUUUGAAGAUUUGCGUUACGAAUUUGAUGAAAUUUGUAUUAUAUUGAAGAAUAUAAUUAAUUUUAUGAGUUUUGAUUGAAUUUUUUUUUUUGAAUUUUUGUAUAAAAAAGGAUAACAUUGUUGAAAUUUUAAAACAUAAAAUAUCAAAUUGUCACUUAAAAUUAAAAUAAAUGACCAAGUCGGGAAAAAAAAAAGAUAAAGGACUAAAAUGUUACUUGAAAUUAAGUUAAGGGACCACGAAUGUAAUUUAGCCUAUAAAAUAAGUCAAUAUAAACAAAUUUAUAUUGUGUGCAUAACUAACUUAAUUAAAAACGUAUAACAUGAUUGUUUAUCAUUUAAAUAUUUAUAUAUAAACAAUUUAUGUAAUAAAAGAUAAUAUAAAUUAAAUGUUUUUAAAUAAACAAUUUAAUAUAAGAUGUUUUCAUAUUCUAUUCUUGAUAACUUAUAAAAAUAGGCUAAAAUUAGUUUAUGAAAAAUGCAUAAGUUGUUUAUUCUCCCUCUAAUAAAACUAACAACCACUCCCAAGUUGAAGCUGAGUUAACUAAAAUGGUAUUUGAGUGUUAGUGUUAAUAUUUUCAAAAAAUAAAAUAGAGAAAAUAAUAUAAAAUUAAGUUACUUGUGGCUGGGUAGUGUCAAGCGCCGAAGAUCGGUUGAUUCGAGAUUCAAGCCAAGUGAACAAUGUUGGUGUUGCAUGAGACAAAAUAAAAAUUAGGGAGAAUGUGAGGAUUAAGGUAAGAACUUUCAUGAUUUUAUUAACCUCUUUUGUUUGCAUUAAAGAGAAGGGAUGGAGGAAUACCUAACUGAUUUUAGAUAUUGUUGAAUUUUGUAGAGUGCCCUAAUAGAUACAUGAGAUUAUCAAUAUUUUAAAAAAAUCUAUGACUCUAUAAAAAUAUUAUUUAUAUAGUCUUUUUAUAAUAUAUGGUAAACUAUAUGAGACAAAUUGUAAAUUCGAUACUAAUGUCGGACAUUAAAUUGAUUGUAAGUUGUUAACUAAAAUGGUAUUUGGGUGUUAGUGUUAAUAUUUUUAUAUUGGGAUGAUCAGUUAAACUUCAAGAAAAUUUUUCAAUACUCAAACAAAGCUUUUUCAAGUUCAAUAUAAGCAGAAAACCAAUUAUGCUAAGUCAAACACUUAAAUUACAUGAACUUAGUAUAAAAUACUAAGAUCAAGCUAAAUAUAAGCAGGAAAAUAAGUAUAAGCAGAAAAUCAAAUACAAUUCAAGCUAAAUAUGAAAAUGCUCAAUUCUAGCAGAUCAAACAAUAAAAUUACAUGAACUCAGUUCAGAUUAUAUGGCUUAUAUAAAACAAUUAAACACAUUAAGAUGUCAUUCUUCUUUUCCUGGUGGGAUUCACAUUUGUUUGUCCAUUAACGAUACAAAACGAUUGAUUAAUCCAAAUUCCCUCAUCAUGAUCAUCUCUAAGAUAUAAACCAUCAUCAAUUGAAUCAAUUUCAUGUGGUUGUGAGGGUUAUGACAACGUAUUAAAUUUGUUUUUAUUUAUUUAAAGUGAAUGAUUUUUAUUUAAAGCGCAAGCCUUUUACAACAUUUGUAUAAAAAACAUUCUAAUAGGUCAUUUAAUUAUAUGAAAGCGCAUGAAUUUUACAGCGCUUUCACAAAAAGCGCUUUAAAAGACAUGUAACAUAAGAUGAGAGCGCUACAUUUUACAGCGCUUGUGUUUAAAGCGCUCAAAAAGCGCUGUAAAAGCUAUGGGAGAGCGCUUCAAUCUACAUCACUUUUAAGUUACGGGAGAGCGCUUCAAUUUACAGCGCUUUUAAAAAAAGCGCUGUAAAAGGGUUGUAAACAUUAUGUGCAAGCGUUAUGUGACCCUACAACAACACUUGUCAAAAAAGCGUUGUUGUAUCCUUCAUUAUUUUUAAAAAAUUUUACAACAGCACUUGUAUUUAAUAAACGCCGUAAAAAAGCGCGCUAUAAUAUGUCUAUUUUUGGCAUAGUGACUCAUAUACAUAGCCUCUUAUUUAAUAUGUAAUCAAACAUGAAAUCCAUUUGAGUACAUAAAACUUUCAUGUAAAAAAUGUGUAGCAACUACACUUCAAAAGGGUAUUGAUGAAAUUGAAGCAUCAUUUUCCAACGUAAAUUUUUGCAGAAACAAAAAGGGCACUAACGAAAAACUACUAUUAAACAGAUUGUCCGUUUUGUUUAUAAUAAAUUAUAUCAAAGAGUUUAUAAAAAUAAAUUAAAAAUAUUUAUAAAAAUCAUAACUUUUUAUUUUCCACUCUCUCCAAUAAUAUCAUACGUGUUUAUCCUAUUUGAUAAUCUCAAAUAAUUUAAUAUAAACAAACUUAUGUUGCGCAGAUAACUAACUUAAAUAGAAACUUAUAAUAUAUAUAAACAUUUAUCAUUUAAGUGUUUAUAUAUAAAUAAUUUAUGUAAUAAAAAAUAAAAUUAAGUAAAAUUAUUUUAAAAUAAUCUAUUUAAUAUAAAUUAUUUUCAUAUUCUAUUCUUAAAAGGUUAUAAAAAUAAAAUAAAAUAAAAUCAGUUAAUGAAAAUACAAUAAAUUAUUUUAGAAGUUCCGCCAAAUACUCUGCAGAGAUGUUACUCUUCCACUAACUAAACUAACAACUACUCCAAAGUUGAGGUCGAGUGAAUUAAAUGAGUAUUUUUGUGUUAGGGUUAAUAUUUCAAAAAAUAUAUUAAAAUAAAGUGGCGAAUAUAUAUAAAAUUUAAUUACUUGUAGUUGAGCAUCGUCAAGCGCAGAAGAUUGCUUCAUUUGAGGUUUAAUCCGAGUUAGCAAUGUUGGUGUUGCAUGCGAUAAAACAAUUACGGAGAACGUGAGAAUUAAGGUAAGAGUUUUCAUAAUUUUGCUAACCUUUUUUCUUUUCAUCAAAGAGAAGAAGGAACACCUAAUUGAUUUUAGACAUUGUUGGGUUAUAUUAUAACGUUAUAAAGGCCAAAGACAAUAUUUAAACUAAGACACCAUGAAAUACUAACAAAACAAAAUACUUUACUUUUUUAUUUAAUUGUAAUUUUAAUCCCUCUAUUUUUACUAAUUUACGAAAUUGGUUCUCCUAUUUUUAAAUCGACAGUUUUGCACUCUUUUUAUGAUUUUUAACUAAAAAAUGAUGACGUGUGAUGUUUUAAAUAACGUGACAUAUGAUAACAUGUCUACCAUGUGUUUUUAUUGGCCAGCCAAAAUCAAUCAAGAAAUCUACAAUUAUAAAAAGGAAAAAAAAGUGCAUAUGGAUAUAUAUAUAUAUAUAUAUAUAUAUAUAUAUAUAUAUAUAUAUAUAUAUUACAAAUUAUGCAUUUUCUUAAUAACUUUAACCUUUGAAUUUUCAUAUAAAUAGAAUACAACUCAAUAAAUUUGUUAAAUUUUAUUUUGUAUAUUUAAGAUGGUUUAUCCAAUAGUUUAAUCUACUAAAUUUUUAAUUUUAUUAUGCAUAUUAUAACUAAAUUAUAUAAUUUCCGAGUUAGACUUAAAAUGGAUUCAUUGCUCAACCGUUCAAUUCCCUCUUUCAGUUUGAUUUUCAUAUAUAUUAGUAUUAUAUGUCAUGAAAAAUAACUUUCUUUAGGUAAAAAAGUAGUUAAUUGAAGAAAAACAAAUUGUACAUCUUUGUAAACCUUAAGGGAUCCAUGGAAGAACAAAAAGGUGUUUAAUAUAAUAAUUCACUAUUCUUUUGCUUUUCUGAAAGAUCAUCUAUUAUUUGUUGAUUUGGCCCUUUCAUUCAAACUUAUUUCGGUAAGGGGAACACACACAUUACAAUAAUUUAUAUUUUAAUAUGAUUGAUUUAUAUAUUCAAAAGCAAAUUUAACAUAAAUUUUAGGAUUAAUUGCAAUUUCAGUUAUUUUAUUUUUAUAAUUCAUAUAAUUGACACUCUUAUUUUAAAAAAUUUAAUAGUUUUUAUCCUUCUUCUAUAUAUUUGAAUUAAAAAAAAUGAAGAUAUGAUAUAUUUUAAAUAAUGUAUUAUAUAAUCUCAUGAUGUAAAAACAUCGAAAUAUAUUAAUUAUUCAUAUGUUAUUAAUUAAACUAAAUCGUUUACCUGAUGCAAUGGUAUAAUAAUAUAAGAUUAAUAUUAUUUUAUUUUAAGGAAUAAAUGUUUUUUGGAAAUAAAAUUUAAUAAUUAGUUAAAAUAAUUUUUUAAUAUUAAAUUUUAAAAUAUGUGAAAAAUACUACGUCAAAAAAUUAACACUUUUAUUUCAUAUAUGCAGUGAGAUAUGCAUGAUCAACGUAAUAUAAAUUGUUAUAAAUUUUAAAAGCUUAAGUUCGUGUUUUUCUAAUUUUUGUCCCUGUAAAUUUUAUUUUUCAAUUUAAAAUAUGUAAAUUCAAUUUAGUUUUAAAAUUAUCAUCGUUGUUAGUUGUUGUUAAAAAAAAAAUUUAUGUAGCAAAUGGAGGUGUGGCGUGGUAGUAUCUGACACGACAAUAUUUGAUGAGGAUAAAAUCAUAAAUUCCUGAAUUUAAAUAACCUAAAAUUUGAAAUCCCUUUUUUCCUUCUUCUCUGUGGUGCAACCUAAAAUUCCAACUAUGCUUCUUCUUGGUUCCACUAUGGCGUCAUUUUUGUCUGCAACAAAUACAACUAAUUUCAAUUGUCUGAGUGUGGGUGUAGGAAAGCAAUGCGUAUAUAAUACAUCUCUAACACAAAUGAAAAUCCUAAAUGACGAUUUUGGAGAUGUCCUCGUUGGAAUGUGAAUAAUUUUUCUUAAAUAUGCGAUUUUUAUGUUUAUACUUUGUAAUUAUAGUUUACAUUUAAUAAAUCCCUUAAUCUAGUUUACAUUUCCUAAUCUCUAAAUCUAGUUUCUGAUUUUGGAUAGAAGGACUAAAAUAUAAUAUUUUUAACUUAAUUUAUUAUAUUUUUUAAUCAAUUUAAUUACUUAAUUGUAUUUUUUAAUAAUUUAAUUUUUUUCAUUCAAUUAUUAAUUAUUUAAUUAAUAAUAAUCAUCCAUGAAACAACAGCAUCACUCUUUUGUUUGUCACAGAAACUUUUUUUUUUAACAACAAUUAGCAAUAGAGAUAAUUUUAAAAUUAAAUUGAACUAACAUGGUUUAAAUUUAAAACAAAAUUAUAUAGACAAAUAUCAGAAAGACACGAACUUGCAUCCACGUUGUAGUUGAAGUUGAAUUUAAUGGCCAUAUACCAAGAGUUAUGCCAAUUGAAGGUAUGGUAACAAGCAUUAGAUUAAAUCCAUUUGAAAAAUAGUACUUUAGUUCUUAAAUUAAAAAAUAUCCAUCAAUUUAAUCAUUUUUUCAAAUGUUAGACUACAAUUUUAAUACAUUUAUGCUUGCUUGAUGUAGUAAAAGACUAUUGAAGUUAGUAUGUAUAACUUUUAUUAGUUUUGAUAUUCUUUUUUUUUUUUCAUCAAGAGUUUUUAUAUUCUUUAAUUUAGAUGACUAAUUUUCUAUUUUGAAAAUUUAUGGAUUAAAGUGACUGACAUCUAAACUAUUAAGGACUAAAAAUGAAUGUUUACUCCAUAAUUUAUUAAUGUUUCACCAAAGCUUGUGUUAUUUUUUAAUUUAAAAAUAUUUUAAAUUAAAAUCAAUUUAUGCCACUAAAAAUAUUACUGAAUUGAGUCACGCAUUGAAUCGUUCUCUUUAAGACGUUUUGCGACACUGUCUAAAUUGUGCAAGACAGACUACAAAACACAAAAUCUCCAAGAUAAAACAGUUCAUAUACAUUGUAUCAGAGUUCUACUGCACCAUAGAAAACUGUUUUAGAAUUACACCAUCAAUAUGACAAUCAGAUGGCUGCCACUCGUAAUAUGAUAUUGUGACCACUCGAAAGAAAGAGAAGAAGUGAGAAAGAAAGGGGGAGAUUCAGAGAAAAGUCCCAUAUGCAGAGGGCUUUUUGUGUGCUUGUCCAACUAAGGAGAACCCUCUAUUUAUAGAGGAAGUCUGCAACUGAAUCAGAGAAAAACAAGUGACCCAUCAGUCCCGAUUCACAAAACGUGCGCUCCAAUCUUCCCAAGGUUUUUUACCACAGAAACAUGCGCUCCAAACUUAACUACGUUUUUAACCGAGCAAUAAUCAGAUGCGUGAGUCCAAAGACUAUGGUUUGAUCGGGCAAUAAACAGAUGCACGAAUUCAGGAAGAAAGAUUGGAUCAGAUGUUGAAUGUUGACUCGAUGAAGAGAAAUUACAUAAUUAACAUAUGAGAGAUAAAAAUGCAAACAUUCAUUUAAUAUUGAAUAAAUAAAUAAUUUAUUAAUUUUUCAUAUACAAAAAAAAUAGGCACAAUUGCUCCUACGGUCCCUUAACUUAAUUUCAGAUAACACUUCAAUUAUUUAUCUUUUUUUUUCCCCGAUUUGGUUCUUUAUUUAAUUUUAUUACAAAAAUUGGAAAAUAUGAAUUUAUUUGAAGAUAUAAGUUAUACAUUUGAUGAAAUUUGCAUUAUAUUGAAGAUGCUAAUUAAUUUUAUGAGUAAUUUGUUUGAAAAUUUUGAUGAAAUUUUAUAAAAAAGAUAAGGAUAACAUUGUUAACAUUUUAAAAUAUAAAAGAUCAAAUUGUUUUCUUAAAAUUAAAUAAAUGAUCAAAUCGAAAAAAAGAAAGAAAAAAAGAUAAAGGAACAAUUAUACCCUAAAAAAUAAUACAUCACUUAGCUCGGGCCAAGCUCGGUUGACUGGACGGCAGCGGAACACCUCAAGUUCCAUACUUUCACCUUAUAAGCACUACUAGUAUGUGUUAUCCUUCUUAUGUGGAACUUCUUUAUUUUUCAAUUCACACCAACACCUACUUUCAUUAAUGUCAUGAUUAUUUCCGACAACCAUCUAUUAAUAUUACAACAUUUCUAACAGUUUGUUAUAUUAAAUAUUUUCUAGUUCUAAUCAAUUUAAAUUUGCGCGCAUUAAUUGUGUACGAGACUAAUGUAACUUUAUUUUAUUGGGCUUCUACUAUAUAUUUGUAAAUUGACAUAUUUUUAUCCUAUCAAAUUAAUUGAUCAAUAGUUGAAUGAUAUAGCUUCACCAAUCGACAAUAAUGAUUUAGUUAACCUUUAAUAUACAAUAUAUGAAUAUUGAGGUAGAUGAGUUAGUGAUAAACUAACUCAAUUAUCGGAUAAAAUUUUGAUAAUACCAAUAUUAUAUACUCUUUUUCUUCUUCAUAGUACACUAUAAGUUGUCUUAUUUUAUUAAAAAAGCGGAAACCCUACAUCUAUCAAUGUUGAUAUUGGUUUUUAAUAGAAAUCUCUCAAAAAAAACGUCAACAAAUAAAUAUUUAGUACGAAGUUUUGUCAAGUUAAAAAAUAAUCUUUAAUACAUAUGUAAAUAUUUCAAAGAUGGAAUAAGUUUGACAUCCAAAUUUGAUAUCAUUUUCAUAAAGAAACUAUUAUGUCAAAACAUAAAACAGUUAUUUAGAGUGUAACUAGAUAGCCUCCAUACAAUAGAGUAAGCUUAUCUUUAUUAGCAAAGGUUGAGACCAUAGCCAACAUCACCAUCAGGAAUUUUAUAACGACCACCAAAGUUAAAUAUGGUGCUAGGGUAGUUCUUAUGGUCAUCUAUGAUGAUAUAGUCUACCAUCCAACCAUCUGAACCUUUCCUAAAUAUAUUCAAUUUGCAGAUUUUGUCCAAACAACCUCCUUCAAACCGUAUAAUUGUUGUCAUGCACUGGUCGAACGAUGUAGAAUCAGUAUCAGGACCAUUCAUUUUCGGAGAAAAUACCGGUUCGUGUUCAUCGUCUCCAAAUGAAAGAGUGAUUCUGUCUUUUGUAUGAGGUGGAGAAAGACAGCCUGUCCUUAUCACAGCUUUGUAAAAGCAAUGUUCAUUCACAUUCUGAAACAUGCAUGCACAUAUAUGUCAUUAUACUCUCUCAUGUUUAUUCUAUUUGAUAAUUUUAAAUAAAUCAAUACAAACAAUUAAAAACUUAUAAUAUUUUCUAAAACAAAUAAAUAAGUAUAUAAAAUUUAAUAACCUGUGGUUGAAGAACGUCAAGCGCAGAAAAUUGGUUCAUUUGAGGUUUAAGCCGAGCUAGCAAUGUUGGUGUUGCUUGCGAAAAAACAACAACUAUGGAGAAUGCGAUGAUUGAAGUAAGUGCUUUCAUGAUUUUGUUAAUAUAUUUUAUUUGCAUCAAAGAGAAGAGAAGAAGGAACACCUAAUUAAUUUUAGAUAUUAUAGCAUUACAUAUGCCAAGGGAAAUAUUUAAAGACAACGUGAAAUCCUAACGAAACUCUAUGGAUUUUUUUUAAUAUUGUGUGAACCACCCACGUUAUAACAUUGUCUUCGAAAUUAUCAAUAUUUCAAAACAUCUAUGACUCGGUCAAAUUAAAUGAUUUUCAGUUUUCAAUUCAAUAUUUAAUAUCAUUUUUUCAAUUCUACAAUCUAAUUUAUAUUAUUUAUAUCACUCUUAAGAGGUAAUCAAUAUUUUCACUUUAUAUUUAUACUAAUGAUAUACCAAUACUUAAAAUAAGUAGUUUAAAAAAAAUUAUGAUAUAUCUUUCAUUUUUUUCUAUAUAUAUUAUACUUUCUUAAUAUUAGUAAACUUCUAUUUCUAUAAUAAGAUAAUAUUUGUUAACAUUAAUAUUUUGAAAAUUAUUCAAGUAUUUGUUUACGAUGAAUAACUUUAACCUUAGAAUUUCCAUAUAACUAGAAUACAACCAAAUAUAUUUGUUCAAUUUUCUUUUGUAUGUUCAAGAUGGUUUAUCCAAUAGUUUUAUCUACUAAAAUUUUAAUUUAAUUAUGGAUAUUAUAACUAAUUUAUAUAAUUUCCAAGUUAGACUUAAAAUGGAUUCAUUGCUCAACUGGUCAAUUCCCUCUUUCAGUUUGAUUUUAAAAUAUAUUAGUAUUAGCUUUAAUAUGUCUUUAUAUAUAUCACGAAAAGUAAUUUUCUUUAGGUAAAAAAGUAGUUAAUAGAAGAAAAAACAAAUUGUACAUCUUUGUAAACCUUAAUGGAUCGAUGAAAGAACAAAACGGUGUGUAAUGUAAUAAUUCACUAUUCUUUUGCUUUUCUGAAAGAUUGUCUAUUAAUUUGGCCCUUUCAUUAUAACUUGUUUCGGUAACGGGUACACACACGUUACAAUAUUUUAUAUUUUAAUGUGAUUUAUCUAUAUAUUCAAAAGCAAUUUAUGAUAAAUGUUAAGGUUAAUAGCAGUUUUGGUAGCCAUAAUUUCACCAUUUUACAUAAUUGACUCUCGUAUUUUAAAACUCUACAAUUUUUAUCUCUAUUUUAUAUAUUUAAAUUAAAAAAUAAUGAUGUAAUAUAAUAUAAUAUAAAUAAUGUGUUAUAUAAUCUCAUAACAUAAAACAUCUAAAUGUUUUAAUUAUUAAUUAAACUGAAUUUUAUAGGUGUGAUGCACAAGAAGAAGAAUAGAAGACUACUAUUUAAUUUUUUAUUUUAAGGAAUAAAUGUCUUUUUUGAAAUAAAAUUUAAUAAUUAGUUGAAAUAAUUUUUUUAAUAUUAAAAUUUAAAAUAUAUUAAAAAUGCCACAUCAAAAGGUUUACAUUUAUCUUUUAUAUAUGCAAUGAGAUAUACAUGAUCCACAUAAUAUAAAUUAUUAUUAAUUUUUAAAAUAGUGGUUACUAAACAAAAUUACUAAAUUUAAAGUCAUUUAUUCCUCCAUUCUUUUAUCCUUUACUACUUAUAUUUCAUAUCAGAAUAAAUAUGAUUUUAAACCCUAUCAAAUCUAUAACUUUUAAGUUUUAAGUUUUGUAAUUAUAAAAAAAAUAAAAAUAAAAAUAAAAAUAAAAAUAAAUACAACUUUUAACUAUUACAAAAUUACAUCACAUACAAUUUUAGGUUUACAAAAUUAUUUUUUCUUUCCUUCGUUUACUUUUCUUAAUAUUUCCUUUGGUCUAGUAUACAAAAACAUGUUAAGGAGCUUUUUUUAGUCACUAUUGUUAUUAAAAUAAAAUUGUCACAUAUUUUAAGAUAUAUUAAUUGUUAAUUUUUUCAUACCACUGUUUAAUCUGAAAUAAAUAAAAAUGAACAUAUUCCAUAUAAGUGAUUUUCACCAUUUUCUUAGAGACUAAAUUGGAUUAUAUUGCCUUUUUUAUUAGUGUACUUAAUCUAUUUCAUUUUAAUUAUUUGAUUUGAGUGAUUUUAAAAAAAUAAUAAUAAUUAAUUUUAUCAAUUUUAAUGAUAAUUUAUUGAAUUGUUUAUGAGCAUGCUUUUAACUUAGUAUCUUUCUUAUAUUAGAUGUUGAAUAAAAAAUAUUACCACUAAUAUUCUUUUACAAAAUAAAUUAUUAUCAUAAUCAUAAACAUUAUAUAUUAUAUCAGAUAAUCUAAUAUAUAUAUAUAUAUAUAUAUAUAUAUAUAAAUGUGUUUCGAUUGUUGUACAAAUAUAAGAGGAGUAUUUAUAACUUCAAUUUUAUAAUGAUUUACUUAUUGUCAAUGUUCGAGAAAAUCUUAAAGUAUGAAAUUGCUUGAGGUUGUAAUUGAAAUGUAAUGUAGUUCACGACUUUAAAUAGUAUAAAUAAAUUGAUUUCACUUAUCGUAAAUAUUAGUAUUAGUUAAAUGUAUCUCUACACAUGCCAUGAAAAAUAGUUAUUUUUUAGGGAAAAAAGUAGUAAGUAGAAAGAAGAAAAAAAACAAAUUGUAAUGUUUUUCAUAUGUAAUGUUUGAUAUACCAUAUAGUCAAAUGAUAUAUAUAUUGUGAUAAAAUAAUAAAAUUGUCCUUGUAUUUUAUUAAAUUUUUUUCUUUUGAAAUAAUAAUUAUCAUUUUUUUAAAUAAACCAAAAACACUAAAAAAAAAUAUAAAUAAAUUAUGAAGUAAUUUUAUAUAAUUGAAAAAAAAAUUACAUUGCUAAAAAAAUUUAUAUUAUUAAAAUUUGCAAUACAUUAUAUCAAGUUAAAAUUGUUGACCAUGUACGUAACAAUAAAAUAUCAUAAAAAACAAUACAUUGUCUUACAUACAAAAUAAAUCAACAAAAGUAAAAUGUAUUAAAGAUAAAUAAGUAAAGUCAAGUACAUAAAUCGAACUAGUAGAUCAACGACUUAACAAAUGCAAGACGAUCAACAUUAUCACAAUCCUAAAAUAUGUGCAAGCAAUGUGACACAUAAUAUUUUGUCUGCUGCAGUAAAACACUCUUUGUUGUGUUAGCUACAUUUUCUUCAACUCAUUCAUAAUAUUUUGUGAAUCAUCAAACACAUUUUUACCAAUACAUAGACGAUUUGCAGUUUCACCCAAUUAUUAUAAACUUUUUUCAAGUCAAUUCCCAAAAGAAUUUCCUAAUUCAGAAAUACCAUGAGCAAUAUUAUAUGCUCAUAUGUUUCUUAUCUUUGAUUGAAUUUUCAUUUGGUCAUUAUUACCUCUAGAUUGUGAUUGACAAAGAGAUAGUGAUUGAGUAAUUUCUACUUAAAGCUCAUCACCAUUAAUUUGUUCUACCUUUACUUUAUCUAUCUCUUCGACAUUAUCACUAGGGGGAGCAUCUCCCUUACCAAUAGCACGAUCUUUUCCAAAAUUACAAACAAGCUUAUCAAAGACUAACAUACCUAUAAUGUUUUGCGUUUGGACGACUCUACACAAACAUAAAAAAUAUAACUUUUCAAAUAAUCAAAAUGAACUCAAUAGAAUAUACGAAGUUGCAAUAAAUUAAUGAACACUAACCUUCGCAUAUUCUUUCCAUACUAUCCACCUUAAUCAUUUUUUUCUCUUCAUCCCAACCGAAUUCACUGUGAUUUAACAUAUCAAAAGUUGUUCCAUAAAUUAACUUUGACCUCUUUAUUGCAGAUUCAAAGUGUGUUUUUACCUUAAUUCCACAUCCAAAAAAAAUUUCCUCCAAUUUUGCCUUGAGCACAGUUAAGGUAUUUGCUUUGAAUUGUUCAUUGUCACAUCUUAGACCAUUAUUUACAGCUUCAAUUAGUAUAUCAAGAAAUUACUUCAUUAUCUUUUUCAGACAAUUUUUACAAUCUCUCUUCCUCUUGUUACUUGAUAUGCGUGCCAAAUUUAGAUUUCAUUUCUAUUGUCAACCAAAUUAUAAACUAUAUAGUAUUUCAAUAAUUCUACAUCAAUAAAAUAAAAAAGCAAAUCACAUAAAAGAUUGUAAAUAUAUAAUGAACAAAAGUUUCAAAAUAUAAAACAAAUAAAAAAGUCAUUUAUUUCAAUAUGGAAGGUUCCAAGAUACUGAGCAAAUGUUCUCCUCUUAAUAUCUCUCUAUCCAUUAAUUGAUUUCUAAUUCUAUAAUUUCCAUAAAACCACGUUAAAGAAUGACUCACUAUAAAAAAAAUUGCUAAACAAAAUCCAACCAUCUUAAAAAAACAUUUGUUCGAACUAACUAGUGUUUAAACAAAUUUCAUGUUCUGAAUUGGAAAUUUGUCACCGGAUGAUGAAUACGGUACACAACAUAUUGAUUCCAUCUUUUAUUUCGAAAGCUAUUGGCAUAUGUAUCUUGUGUUACUUUUAUUAAAAGUUUCUAGUUUUUCUUUGAAUCUUAGUCCCUUUUUAUUCACCAACAACAACUAGAAACAUACAUACCAAUAUGCAAAGAAAAUAUCACAAAUAAAGUACCGACACGGUCACGAUCGAACCACACCAAUACAAACAUGCAACUUGAUAAUUCAACUCUAAGCUCCAUACAUAUUAUAUAUUAUGUUGCUUCUAAUUUUUAUGAAAUACAAUAAGAUUAUCUUUAUUUAAAAAAAAUAAAAAGAAAGAAAGAGUCCAUAUAAUAUUAUUUUAGGAAUGUAAUUAACACUAAUAUUUAGGACAAUAGUUGGGGCCAUAUCCCAAACCAUCAUCAGGAAUAAUAUAGUUCUCAUCGAAAUCAAAUCUGAUUGGAGGGUUCUUAUAGUCCUCUAUGUAGACAUACUCUACUAUCCAAGUAUCAUCAAACGUUGGUAACAAACUAUGAUGUCCACUCCUAAUUAUCAACAAUCUGCAGAUUUUGUCGCGACAUGGUCCCUCUAAGUCCAAUUGAACUGUCAUGCACUGCCCCACCCUCUCAUCCUUAGGACCACCCAUAUUCUCAAUGUAAAUCUGCAAUUAAAUUAAAAUUUUAAAUAAAUUUUCGGUUUUUAUAAAUUUUUAAAAUUUUUAAUUUUACUCAUGAUAAAAAAUUAUAUUUUUUAAUUUAUAUAUAAUUAUUUUGCAAGUUGUUUUAAUUAUUGUUGAAAUAAAAUAUCAUUAAACUUUUAAAUUUUUGAAUAUCUUUUACAGUCAUAUUUUAAAUAUUAUUAAAAAUUUAUCUGCACAAAUUUACAAUUUUUUAACAUGGAAUAAAUUAAAUAUUAACUUUUAAAUGUCACAUGUUCAAAUUUAAAGUAUAUAAAAUAUAGACCUAUAAAUCAACUUUUGAGUUUGUUUUUUGUGUAUAAAUAUUUUAUAUUAUAAAUAUUUAUGCAAAAUAAUCAUUCAAAAAUAUACGUUGAUGUUUCAAUAAUGAUUAAAAUGGCUUGCAUUGGACUAAAAUAUGUGAUUUUUUUUUACAAUGAAUAAAAAUAAAAUUUUAAAAUUUAUAGAGUAGAAAAACUUAUUUAAUCCUAAAUUAAAUAUAUAUGUAUAGAUAUACUUCGACCAAAAUUUUAUUUGAGUUUUUCAAACAAUACAUUAGUACUUGAUUAAUUCUAGUGAAAGAAAAUUAAAUAUUGUGAUUAGGAAAUAAAAUGUAACUUUUACAGGAAAAAAUUAAAAAGAAUACAUAAUGUGAUUUGUUUUGCAAAACAAGAAACAAAGUCACAAAAUUUUUAAAUUGAGUUAAUAGUAUUUGUGCAAGAAAUUAAAUUUUGAAGAGGAAUUGAGAAACAUGUAUAGUUACUAGUUAUAUUAUAUGGUUAAUUAAUUAUUUGUAGUAGAGAAAAACAUUACCAAUCCAUUGCGUGAAGCGUCUCCAAAUGAAAGAGUGAUUAUGUCAUUUGUAUGAACUGGAGAGCGACAACUUGUUUUUACGGUAACCUUGUAUUUGCAAUCCCAUUUAUCAAAAUUCUGAAACAUGCAUAUAUACAAAUCAUAUACAUAGCCUUUUAUUUUUAAGAUGCAAUAAAACAUGAAAUUAAUUUGAGUAAAUAAAACUUUCAUAUAUAAAAUGUGUAUUGACCACAAGGGCAUUAAUGAAAACUAAAGCACAAUUUCCCAACCCUAAAUUUUUGGCAGCAAACAAAUUAAAAAGGCACUAAUCAAAAACUACUACUAAACAAUUUAAUUAAACGAUAUAAAUCCUUACAUAUAAGUUAUAUCCUUAUUAAAAAGAUAAAAUAAAAUUAAUUUUAAAUAAAGUAUAAGUUAUUUUUAUAAAUUACGCCGGAGAGUUUAUGAAAAAAAUUAAAAAUAACUUAUAGACACGUUAUAAACUAUUUUCUUACACUCUCUCAAAUAAUAUCACAUGCAUUUAUGCUAUUUAAUAAUAUCAAAUAAGUCAAUACAAACAAAUUUAUAUUGUGUGCAUAACUAAAUUAAAAACUUAAAACAUAAAUGUUUAUUAUUUAAAUAUUUAUAUAUAAGCAAUUUAUGUAACAAAAGAUAACGUUAAUAUUUUCGAAAAAAUAAAAUAAAAUUUAGUUACUUGUAACUGGGUAACGUCAAGUGCCGAAGAUUGAUUUAUUUGAGAUUCAAACCGAGUGAGCAAUGUUGGUGUUGCAUGAGACAAAACAACAAUUGUGGAGAAUGUGAGGAUUAAGAUAAGAACUUUCAUGAUUUUAUUAACCUCUUUUCUUUGCAUUAAAGAGAAGAGAUGGAGGAAUACCUAAUUGAUUUUAGAUAUUGUUGGAUUAUAUACUAUAGCAUUACAAAUGCCUGAAGCUAUAUUUAAUGACAACAUGAAAUACCAACAUUACACUAUAUAUAUAUUUUAAUAUUGUGCAAACCACCCAAUUAUUGCAUGAUUUUGUAGAGUGCUCUAAUAGAUACAUGAGAUUAUAAUAUUUCAAAACAUCUAUGACUCUAUAAAAACAUUUUUUAUAUUAAUCUUUUUGAUAAUAUGUGGCAAACUAUAGAGGUCAAAUAGUAAAUUCGAUUCUAAUGUCAUACACACUAAAUUGAUUAUAAGUUAUUAAACAUAGAGACUUAAUUAUUUGUAAGUAUUUAAAAAUUUUAACUCAUACAAAAUUAUAUAAUAUAUAGUUUUAGUCCAUACAAAAUUAUAUAAUAUAUAGUUUUAGUCCAUACAAAAUUAAUCUAUCUUUAUUUUAUUUACUCUUUUUUUUUGUUCUCACAUGUAAGAACUUGUAAAGAUCUUUUUUAGUCACUAUUAAUAUAAAAAAAAAAGUCAUAUAUUUUAGAUUAAUUGUUAAUUUUUUCAUACUACUGUUUAAUGUUAAAUAAAUAAAAAUUAGCAUUUUUCAUAUAGGUGAUUUUCACCAUUCUCCUAGGGUACAUUAGCACUUUUAUAAAUCGUGAAAGGCUAAGUUGGUGUGAGGGACUACAUGGUCCCCUUAUAUUUUUGUUAAAUGUUGCAUCCUCAAGUUAAAUGAAAUCGUGAAUGUCUCAAUAAUCCAUAUCAUUGGUUCACAUGCAAUUUAAUGUUAGAUAACAAUUUUAUAUUAAAUUAUUCUGAUUUAUUUUUUUUAAAGGAUAAAUAAUUGUAUUUUUUUUUAUUAAAAACUAAUCUAUCAUCCAUGUUUUUUUUUUAAAGGAUCAGAAUGUUAAUCUUUUCACAUUAAUGUAUUAUAUGUAAUAUUAUUUAAAAAAUUAAAAUGACAAAAAUUAUCGAAUUAAAGUCUUUUCACAUGAAUGGAUUAUAUGUAAUAGUCAUUUCACACUAUUUAAAGUCUUGACGUAUAUUAAUGUCAUUUGUUAAUUAAAAAAUCAAAAUAAUUAAAAUUAUUGAAUUUUAAAAUAUAAAAUCAAACUUUGUAAAUUAGAAAAAAAAAUGAUGAUAUUAAAAUUCUAAGUAAAUCUAAAUAUUUUUAGUAAUUACUAUGAAAAUAUUGAAAUGUUUGUUUUCUACACAUUAAUUAACGAAUAUAAUUAUCUUAAAUGUUUUAUUUUUUAUAAUAUGUAUUGAAAAUAUCAAAAUUUAAACCUAAAUUAUUCCAUGUAGUAUAUAUUUUUAAAUAAAUUAAUAUAUAUCUGCAUAUAGUCACUUAAAUGCUUAUAAAUAACAAUACCAAAUCCAAUAUUUGAACGUGUUUAUGAUAAUCUAUUGAAUUGUUUAUGUGCGUGUUUUUCACUUAACAUCUUUCUGAUUUUAUAUUUUCAAUAAAAAAUAUUACCAUUAUAUUUUUGUUGGCAACAAAUUAUUGUUAUAAUCAUAAACAUCAUAUAAAUAAUCUAAUAUAUAAAUGUAUGUAUGAAAUGUUAUACAAAUAUAAACUAUAAGAGACAAUAAAAAACAAAAACAAUUUAAAUGUUUAUGUUAAAAUAUACUUGAUGUGUGUUUCUAAUUUAAUGUUCGAAAAAAUAUGAAAGAAUGAAAUUGAUUGAGGUUGUGACACACUUUGAUAAAUAAUGUACGUCAAGACUUUAAAUAGUAUAAAUACAUUUAUUUCACUUAUUGUAAUUAUUAGUAUCAGCUUAAAUGUGUCUUUACACAUGCCAUGAAAAGUGCUUUUUUUUAGGAAAAAAGUAGUUAACAGGAAAACACUAAAUUUUAUGUCUUUAAAAAGUAACCUUAAUGGCUCGAUGGAAGAAAAAAAGGGUGUAUGGAAUGUAAUGAUUCACUAAUUCUUUUGCUUUGCUGAAAGAUCAUUGAAUAUUUGUUGAUUUGGCCUUUUCAUUAUAACUUUUUUCCAUAAUGCAUUGAGUUAUCCUAAAUUCAAAAAAUAAGACAAAUAAGUGCUCCCAACAAUUUGUUUCUAAUAUAUCCUUUGUUUUGUAACUUGCAAAUAUUUUUUCUUAAUUAUGAGUCUAAAUUUGACUUUAAUAUUGAUUAGCACUAACUAAUUUUGUUGCAGUAAUUAACUAUAUGAAAAAGUCAUACUUACAUUUGACUUUAAUGACUGUUUACUAAGGGUUAUUCCAUUGAAGGUAUGGUAAUGAGCCUUAUAUAAGGCCAUUUGGUUUCCUACAUUUGAAAAAUAGUAAUUUAAUUUUUAAAUUAAAAAAUAUUGAUCAAUUUAGCCAUUUUUUUAAAUGUUAGACUAAAAUUUUAAUAGUUUUAUGAUUUUUUUUAUGUAACAAAAAACUAUUUAAAUAUUAUUAUGUUCAGUCCAAAAAAAUAGAGUUCUUAGCCUGUUCUAUAGUUGCAACUUUGUUUGAUCUUCUACAUCAGUCAAUUCAUUUUCAUUACCAAUUGAGAUGCAAUUUAUCUCCUAUGUGUCGGGUUCGAUUGUCGCGAAAGACAAGAACUCGCUAUUUUCAUGAGGUGGAAGGGGGAGGGGAGAGAAGAUUGUGAUAAAUAGUGUCUAUAGCAGUAACAAUUGUCCUAUUACAAACCAAGAUAAUUGAAAUCGAGAUUUGAUGAAACAUGACAAAUAGAAUUCACUAAGCGAGCAAUCUUAUGGUUAAGAGAGUUCAAGGUAGUGAAUUUGCUAAAUUUUGCAAAGUUAAUAUUGCUAAGAAAAUAGUAAUCUCACUGGGCAAAAUUAAAGGCGGUUUUACGGCUGGACUAUAAUUCACCGUGAAACAUACGCAUUCGCAAAACAAAUUAUAUGUUUGCUGAGCGAAAUGUCACUUAACUAAAUCUCUCUUUGUUGAAGUGCUGAGCAAAAUGUCACUUAACUAAAUCUCUCUUUGUUGAAGUUAGAUGUAAUCAAUCAUUUAUCUUUUGUAUCUCUUUUGAUUUAUAAUUAUAUAUUUUCAAUCUACUAGCUCGAUUCAUGUCCUAUAUUAGAAAUUUGUCACCGGGUGAUGAAUAUGCUCUUUUAUUUUGAAUGCCUUAUUGGCAUAUGUAUCUUGUGUUACUUUUAUAAGAAGUUUUAGUUUUUCUUUGAAUCUUAGUCCCUUUUUAUUCUCCCAAAACAACUAGAAACAUACCUACCAAUACGCAAAGAAAAUCUCACUAUUACAAGUACCACGGUCACGAUCGAAUCACACCAAUACAAACGUACAACUUGAUAGUUCAACUUUUAUCAUUAAAUAUUUAUUAGUUACUUAGGUAGUAUAUAAAACCCUUAUUAGAAGCAACCUUAUUUGAGACUAACCUAACCUCUAUAAAUAUUAUGUUGAUUCUAAUUUUUAUGAAAUACGAUAAGCUUAUAUUUAUUAUAAAAGAAAGAAAGAGUCCAUAUAAUAUUAGUUUAUGAGUUUAUACAAUAUAAUAAAACAAACAUGAUAUUUUGGCAAGUUUGAUAUAUGUCAGCUAAAUAAAAUGUUAUGCAAAUAUAAAGUUUCUAUUAAUAGAAAUAACUGUGCAGAUUUUUUUAUAAAAAUAAAAAUAAAACUUCCAUUAUAUCACAAUUUGACAUGAUAUUUCCGUUGAGACUUUAGUGGCCAAUUAAAAAAUAAAAAGAAUGAAUUAAAAAUAAAAUAUAACGAAUCACACCACGGCUUGACAAUUAUUUAAAAGUCAUGGGUUUUUAAACACUACUUUAACAAUCACUGCUUCAAAUUAAUUUAAUUACAAAUUUUAUUUUAUUUUACGAAUUCUUUUAGUGUCUUCAUUCUUAAUUAUGUGUUGUUAACGGUCUCUCCUCAAUAAUCUACUAUUUUCGACGCCUCCCUUAUAAAUGUCAUUCAUAUUAUCUCAUCUAUAUACAAUCCCCUUUUAAUUUUCCUUUAACAAAGAUUCGUUAUUUGUUUUUGUGUUUAUCUUUCUCCGAUGUUUGAAAAAAAAAAUCAGAUUUUGUUGCUUCAAUUUCUCCAAAAAAAAGUUUUCGUGGAAUUUGGUUGUUAGAGUUGUGCGAAGGUGGUUUCUGUCUGAUAUGAAUAUCAAACAUAAAUUUUAUGUGAUGGAAAUGAUAUUGAUCGAUAACAAGGUUUAAUUCUUUCUUUUAUAAAUUCAAAGUUUUAAGUUAUACAAACUUAUUUGUUAUGUUAUUAAUUUAACAAAUUUGUGUUUCAUAUUUUUUAAGGUGAUAAAAUUAAAGCAACGGUGCGAAAAACUCUUAUAUCUCGAUUUGAGACUAAUACUCGUGAGGGAGCUAUGGUACAAUUGUCCGAGAAUUAGAGACCAAUUUGGUCACAGCUUCUCUGUACUCAUUCAUUUCAUUCCCAGAAAUUCAAAAUGUUGACAUGAAUUACUUGAUUUGGUAAAUUUAUUUUAAUUUGUCAUUGUUAUUUUAUUUUAGUUAUUCACAGUUUAGUCAUUAUUUUUUUAAUAGAUGUCAUGGAGGUUUUAGUUGGAGUGUGACAAUACAUAGUUUAUGAAAUGAAUGGUGUCAAUACAAAAUUUAAAGUUAUUGAGUUAAAGUCAGAUGAGUGAGCCUUUUUACAUUAUAUAAAUUUUUUUAGUAUUUAAUAACUUUCUCUAUUAUUUAUUAACUAAUUUUAUUUGCUAAAAGUGAAGACGUUUAAUGAUAAAAACCAACUACAAAAUGCAAUGAAUUGAACUAAGCUUUUAUUCAAUCCUGAAAUUCCUGAGUCAAUUUUUUUCAAACGCAAGUAAGGUUAAAAGAAAACUAGAAGUAGUACCAACUAACUUAUUCAAUUUUUUUAUUUAUUGAAAUACUAACUUUAUACUACCUCAUCAUCAGACACUCGAAUAACUUUGGUUCGCCAAUUCAACCAUUGACUCAUAAGAAGGAUACUUCUCAUUUGAGUUAAGAAGAAGAAUUUUUAAGUCUUUUCCAACGCAUGACUUUAGAGGAACUUAAGGAUUGUCAAAAUGAAAUUUUUACAGUUUCAAUGUCAUAUCUAUUAUAGUUCAUUUAGUUUUGUUAAUCAUGUUUGUUAUUUAUAAUUUUUACUUCUUUUGUAGGAUAUGGUUUGUGUUGUCUUUGAUACAGUUAAACAUAUUCUUGUUGAAUGUCAUUGGUAGUAUGGAGCAUGUGUAUGCAACAAAGGAGUUGUUAUUGAAUCUAAAAGGUUCUUUUUGUCUAAAAUGUAAGAAAUAUGUAUGGACAAUUGUGCCACGGUGCGUUUAACAAAUAAAAUUCAUUUAUGUUAAUUUAUCAAUUCCUUAGACUAUUAUUGAUGUUAAUAAAUUUCAUUAUCUAAUUUUGGUAAAAGGUAUCGUAUCAAGGUUAGAGUUGUCGAUGAUACUGAUUAUGAUACCUUUGUCAUAUUUGAUCAUGACGAAAUUUCGUUGACAAACAAAUCAUGUCUAAAUUUGCUUCAUGAAAAGGAUCAAAUCAGUAUAUUUCCUAAAUUUUAUUUUAUCUUCAAUCUUUAUUUAUUAUUGAUGUGGUCUGGUUAUGUUUAUUUCGAUGAUCUAGAUUAAUAUUUUUAACAACAAUGUGAAUAUUAGGAUCCACAGUCUGACAGCGUGCCAAAAGAAAUUGGAGAUUCGGUUGAAAAACAGUUUCUAUUUAAGAUAGAGGCAAAAAAUGAUGUGAACUCAAAUUUUGAAAAUCAUUUCGAGUCAAAAAUAUUUGUGGUGACUUGAAUAUUAUAAAAAAUUUCAGAUAUGUUGCUCUUGAAAAGGUUUCUAUUCUUUUAACUUUUGUAAAUUAUUUUACUUAUCUAAAUCAAUAUGUAUUACUUUCUAAUUUUUGUAAUUCGUGACUAAGGUUGAUGUUGGUCUUGAUAACGACGUAGAAGGUAGUGUAACGAAUGAUUUGAUGAAUAAGUUUGAAGAAGAAGCUACUGAUGAGAAAUAUCAAGUCCCAAACCCUGUAUGUGUACUCGUACUAGUUGAACAUGAUUCUGAUGAUUGUACCUCUCUUAAAAGGGGGUUCAUGAAAGUCGCUGACGACAAUGAUGGAGUCAAUUCAAAAAAUGUGAAAAAUAUCAAAAUUGAGAAGGAGCGAGAAUAAACAUAAUACUUUAUUUUAUUUUAUUUUGAAUUAAGCUAUGGUAGCCUUUGUUUUGGCGGAAAUUUGUUAGUUUUGCGAUGUUAGAUUCAUACAUUAAAUUUCUAUCAAUUUUCAUUCAUGAACGUUUGAUGUUAUGUUUGCAUAAAAUUUAUUUAGGAAUUAAAAUAAAAAGUGUCUUUAUUUUGUUAUACAUUUUUUAUUGUUUAUUUUUCUAAAUUUUGCCUUAAAAAUUGUACGUAUUUGAUAUCUCUACGCGUAUAUUCCAAUAUUUAUUUGUAAGGUUUUGUAAUACUAACUCCAAUUCUAAAUUCUCUACUAAAUAAUUGAUGCCACAAAUUGAGCUUUUACCCAUGAAGGCAAACAACUCAGCUUUUAAGUAGAAAAAUAUCCAAUUCAUCCAAACAAAAAAAAAAUCAUAAUAUAGAAUUUAUUCUGUAAUUAAAAAAAAUACAGUUCAUUACCUCACUAACAGUUUUUUUAAUAAUGAUUUUUCAAAUGUCAACAGAUCCAUUACAUCACGAUUUGACAGUUUGUAAGCUCUAGCAACUACUACUUCAAAUUAUUGACUAAUAUUACAUAAAUUUAAUUAAAAAAAUUAUUUUAUUUCACAAAUUAUUUUUAUAUUUAUUUUUAUAAGCAAUUUUUGAUAAUAAAAUUCAAACUAUAUCUUUAAUAUCAAUGUCAAUAAAAUUAUAUUAUUAAUUUAAAUUAUUAUAUUAUAUAAAUUAAUAUAACAAUAUAUUUUGAAAAUAGUAAUUUAUAUAUUUGCGACGCAGGAUAACACACUAAUUUAAUUAACCCUAAUCUUUAGGACAAUAGUCGAGGCCAUAUCCAUAACCAUCAUCAGGAAUAAUAAUAUCCUUAGGUUUGAAGUCAAAUCUGAUAGGAGGGUUCUUAUAGUCCUCUAUGGUCACAUACUCUGCUAUCCAACUAUCAUCAUCAAACUUUGGUACCGAACUAUGGGGCCCACUUCUAGAUAUCAACACUUUGCAGAUUUUGUCGCGACAAGGUCCCUCUAAGCCCAAUUCAACUGUCACGCAAGCCUCUAACCUCUUAUUCUGAGGACCACCCAGAUUCUCAACAUCAAUC